UGGCAUGUGUGUUGUUGGUCGACCUGAGU
rnacentral:piRNA from 1 species